GGGUGAUCUGGCUGCAACAUCUGUCAUCUCACUGAUCACCAAGGUUGAUUCAACUGAUCAGGCUGGCUAGGCUCCAUGUGCAUCCCAAGCUGCAUGCUCAGUUGAAGAGCAUAACCACCCCUGAUAGAGGAGGACUAUUUCCUUAGUCAAGAGUUACAAGUAGCUGCAUUCCUCUGUUGAAAUUUCCAAACAAGUUCUCAAGGGAGAAUGAAGAGAGAGAGUUCAAUGAAGAAGGAGGCCACAAGCUAUGCU
rnacentral:snRNA from 1 species